AAUGAUGAUGGCUGCCGUUGUAGUGUUUAUACUCGAGCGGCAGAGAACGUGCACAGUCAAUCGGCGUGCUCUGGCAGGAGCACGCUGCACGACGGUGGUCGACACUGCACGAGCUGCGCUGUUUGCUGUUGGAGUGUAUAGACAGCCCUUAACGACUAGUCGACUGGGGCCUUCAGUCGGACAUAUCCGUAGCUACACUGGUGGCCACGCUGUGCAGUGGUUCAGUAUGUCACGAUCCACCGCAAUCCACGUUCCCAGUGCAUUCAUCGACGGCCACCUCGAGAACCUUCCAGGACCGAGGUGGCUUUGCUCACACUCAGAUCCUUCCCUCUGGACCAACUUAUCACCGACCUACCCAUAUCCAACGGAUCGUCGCCACUGAGGCUCACCACCCCAUCAUCCACGCCACAGCCCACCACCCUAUUCUGCACGCAUCACCUGCACAAAUUGUAACUGUACAGAAGGCCAGUCCUCUGCUGUACAGCCCUUACCUGACCUACACCAAGUCAGCGUACGAAGCAGCGUACCCAGCAACAGUGACCACCUAUAAACAGCCGGCCUUAAUUCCACUGACAUACAAGCAGCCCAUCACGACAACGAAAGUCAUUGAAUCGCGUCCUCAUGUCUCGUCGCACACGUACGUCCCUCCGGCCCCAACUGGGCACGCAAUUGUCACGAGUUACUUCAACAUUCCUGGUUCUGGCUUUACAAAGACGUCGGACUAUUCGGGUUCUUUCGGUAACACUGGAUCCAGCUCGUUCGACAAAUUCGUGUCUCAGCAAACGCAAGCUCACGAUCAUGCACAGGGUCAGUACCCUAGCCAGUCUCAAGACAGAAUGUAUGGACAACAAGGAAGACCGCAACCUUCGUAUCAGCGCACGCUUUUCCCAGAAGACAACUACGCUUCAAGUCGGGCGCGAGUAAGCUACACACCACAGAACGACAUCUGGUCGAGCGACUUCCGUCAGAGUUCUUCACAGGUGUCAUCCGAUCUGCUCGCAUCAUCGACGCGCGAAGAUUCCCGGUACAGAUCAAGUUCUGUGUCACAGAGCAGUGCCAAUGGUGGCGAAGAGCAGAAAAGUGCAGAGUCUGGGCGUCAAAACCGCUCUGGAGGAUACAAGUAUUGAUGUAAUCAAGGGUUUUAGGGCCUUGUGCUCUAUAUCGACGCAGGGAGCAGAAAAUAAAGCGUACUGGUCGUUA